AGAGCGCCCCCAAGGAAACCGUAAAAAUGAUUCAUUGUAUUAAAUCUCAACGUUUGAGUACACAUCUUUUUAGAGUUCUUUGUGAUAAAAUGGAAAGUACGCAUAAACCAUGCUGCUGCAUACUGAAAUAUGAUGGUUUUCUUAAGGAAAUACACUUGUUUUGAGAAUUUUGCUGGUAAUAUUAAGGAAGGGCAUCCACAAUUGUCUGAAAAGGCUAUUAAAAACUGCUUCCUUUUUCAACUACAUAUCCGUGCCAGGCUGGACUUCCUUCAUGCGCCUCAACCACAGCAGCAUAUUGCGUGGGAUUGCAUGCAGAAGCAAAUGGGAGAUUCAACUCUCUUUCAUGCUCAUUCACUACAGAGAUUUGCAAAAAUGUAAAACAAUAGCGCUUGUAUCACUACAUUUUUUUCUUGUUUGCAAAAUGUAAUUAUUUUCAUAAAAAUGUGUAGUUUGUGUUUCUAUGUAGUAGGUUGAUUAUUUUUUAAAUGAAUUUUUUAAAAAUUUAUUUUUAAAAUGAAAAUUUUAUAAUCUUCUCAGGUUUGAUUUCCCAUAUAGUUAAUAUCAGUAGCUACCACCUGAAUAAUAGUAGACCUACUCCAAAGGGUUGUUGUGAG
rnacentral:lncRNA from 1 species